CCUAUAAGCAGCGGUACUAAGCGAAUCCCUUUGAGCUCUCCUGGACCGCAGCGGGCUGUGACCAGCAUCUCCCUCUGAGUGGGAUGGGACACCUCUCAGAGCUCGCAAACUUUCCUGUUUGUGAAAAUCGGAGGUCUGUCGCCAAAAACCGACACAGCCUGGGCUGAUUCUCUUUGCAACUUAAGACUUGACCCUUUGCCCGUGGAGACAAACGCUGAAGCAUUCGACGUGAAGAUUUUCACUGACCUCGAGGGGAAUUUUUAACAGGCAGAGAAACCUACCAUUCUGAAAUAUCUACCUUUGAGUAGAGGAGCAUAUACAAGACGUCAGGGUGAAAUAUUAUUCACACCAGCAAGGAACAGACAGCUAUUGGAUGAGACUCUUGAAGGAUAGGGUAUGUGACCCAUGAGAAACUGGAAGAACCUAGGAGUCACAGAGCUCACCCCAACCAAAAUACUUCUCUCUGCUGGAGCGACCAAAGGCCACAUGUAGUGGACAAAAU